CCGCGGUAAUACGGAGGGGGCAAGCGUUGUUCGGAAUUAUUGGGCGUAAAGGGCAUGUAGGCGGUUUGGUAAGUUAAAGGUGAAAUACCAGGGCUUAACCCUGGGGCUGCUUUUAAUACUGCAGGACUAGAGUCCGGAAGAGGAUAGCGGAAUUCCUAGUGUAGAGGUGAAAUUCGUAGAUAUUAGGAGGAACACCAGUGGCGAAGGCGGCUGUCUGGUCCGGUACUGACGCUGAGGUGCGAAAGCGUGGGGAGCAAAC
rnacentral:rRNA from 1 species